rfam:Rattus norvegicus chromosome 6, whole genome shotgun sequence.
GGGGAUUUAGCUCAGUGGUAGAGUGCUUGCCUAGGAAGCGCAAGGCCCUGGGUUCGGUUCCCAGCUCCG